rnacentral:rRNA from 1 species
CGGCUGCUCAGUAACACGUAGUCAACUUACCCUAUGGACGAGGAUAAUCUCGGGAGACUGAGCAUAAUACUCGAUAGAUCAUAAUGCCUGGAAUGGUUUAUGGUUGAAAUGAUUCGUCGCCAUAGGAUGGGACUGCGGCCUAUCAGCUUGUUGGUGAGGUAAUGGCCCACCAAGGCGAUUACAGGUACGGGCUCUGAGAGGAGAAGCCCGGAGAUGGGUACUGAGACAAGGACCCAGGCCCUAUGGGGCGCAGCAGGCGAGAAAACUUUGCAAUGUGCGAAAGCACGACAAGGUUAAUCCGAGUGAUUUCUGCUAAAGAAAUCUUUUGCAAGUCAUAAAACCACUAGUGAAUAAGGGGUGGGCAAGUUCUGGUGUCAGCCGCCGCGGUAAAACCAGCACCUCAAGUGGUCAGGAGGAUUAUUGGGCCUAAAGCAUCCGUAGCCGGCUCUGUAAGUUUUCGGUUAAAUCCAUGUGCUCAACGCAUGGGCUGCCGAAAAUACUGCAUAGCUAGGGAGUGGGAGAGGUAGACGGUACUCGGUAGGAAGGGGUAAAAUCCUUUGAUCUAUCGAUGACCACCUGUGGCGAAGGCGGUCUACCAGAACACGUUCGACGGUGAGGGAUGAAAGCUGGGGGAGCAAACCGGAUUAGAUACCCGGGUAGUCCCAGCUGUAAACGAUGCAGACUCGAUGAUGCAUUGGCAUAUAGCCAGUGCAGUGUCGCAGGGAAGCCGUUAAGUCUGCCGCCUGGGAAGUACGUACGCAAGUAUGAAACUUAAAGGAAUUGGCGGGGGAGCAG